GAGCCUGAAACAAUAUCUGAUGGUCGACGAUUAAUUCUGAAACAUAAACAGUCUCUAGAAUUUCUAGAUGAUCAGAUUCCAAAAGAUAAAUUACAAAUUAAAAAGCUGUUAGGUAUAUCUGACAUGCAUCAAGUGAUAGUGAAUCCAAGAAAUCAUCCCAAGUAUGAGUUUUACUUUGAAGCCUUAAGUAAAAACAAAUA
rnacentral:sRNA from 1 species